CCUACGGGUGGUAGCAGUGGGGAAUAUUGCACAAUGGGCGAAAGCCUGAUGCAGCAACGCCGCGUGAGCGAUGAAGGCCUUCGGGUCGUAAAGCUCUGUCCUCAAGGAAGAUAAUGACGGUACUUGAGGAGGAAGCCCCGGCUAACUACGUGCCAGCAGCCGCGGUAAUACGUAGGGGGCUAGCGUUAUCCGGAAUUACUGGGUUUAAAGGGUGCGCAGGCGGCGUGUCAAGUCAGCGGUAAAAUGUCGGGGCUCAACCCCGGCCGGCCGUUGAAACUGGCGUGCUCGAGUUGGAGAGAAGUAUGCGGAAUUCGUGGUGUAGCGGUGAAAUGCAUAGAUAUCACGAAGAACCCCGAUUGCGAAGGCAGCAUACCGGCUCCACACUGACGCUGAGGCACGAAAGCGUGGGUAUCGAACAGGAUUAGAUACCCUUGUAGUC
rnacentral:rRNA from 1 species